rnacentral:lncRNA from 1 species
CGGAGGCACUCAACAUGGGCACCUAGCAGUCCAUGUGGGCUGUGCACACACAACAUCUGGUUUGGAAGCGGUGAACUGGUGAAUUUAAUUGUCCUAUGCAUCAGAUUGAGUAACCGAAAUCCAGAAGAACUCAAGGGUGAAGGACUUUCCCAAGGUCUAUGGAGCACCAGUUUACUGCUCUAGAGCAGAAAGUCAUAUUUCCCAGAGUUUUUGAUGAAAGGAAUUCAGGGCAACAACAUCUGGUGCUGAUUUGAACGUGGUAGGUUGGGUACAAGGAGCUGCAGGGGGAUGAGAAAUCGUCUAUGGCAAGAAUCAGCACAGGAAUAGCAAGAAUUUUGUACAUAGCUGGGAAUGAAAGC